rnacentral:lncRNA from 1 species
GGCUCUGCCAGCAUUUUUGUCCAUUGAUUCAAGUGUUUUGUGCCCCUCCAUGUGCCCAAAGCAGCUUGGUUUAUCCAUCUCCCUGUUCCCACACAUCUGUUUUCCCAGAUCCUGUUGUGGUGCUGUGUGAUUCCCACUAGUCCAGCUUUUGUUGGUCUGAUGCAGACCUUCUGUGCUUGAGGUCACUUAUCGCAUAGGCCCAGGGUCCUCAUUUUUUUUUUGUUUGGGGAUUGAAACCAGAAGUGCUUUACCACUGAGCUACAUCCCCAAUUCUUUCUAUUUUUUUAUUUUGGGCAUUUUAUCACUGAGUUACUGAGGGCCUCACUAAAUUUCUGAGGCUGGCUUUGAAUUUGUAAUCCUUUUGCUUCAGCCUCACAAAUUGCUGGGAUUAUAGGUGUGUGUCACUGUGCCUGGCAGCCCAGGGUCCCCUUGGGUAUGCUUCGCAACAUCAACCAGAAGUAAAGUACUAUCGGGCUAUUCCUACGCUCCAAUAAGGAAUAUGCUUUGUCCCCUGACACAUGAUCUGUGAGUUUUUCUGGCUUUUUCUCCUUGUGAGAUGAGACCAUACACACAUUCCUUGAUAGUUUCCAUUCUGAUUUAAUGCCUUUGGUUCCAGUAAUGCUUCCAAGAGGUGCUAGGUAUCUCUUAGUAGCAUGUCCCUUGAUGUAUUUUAUUCAUUUUCCAAGAUGUGAGUCUUAACUGGACCCAGUACCCCCAAAGACCUCCCAAUGGUAUUGGGCUGAAAAUCAGAGGGAUCGGGCUGGGGAUGUGGCUCAAGCAGUAUCGCGCUUGCCUGGCAUGCAUGCGGCCCGGGCUCGAUCCUCAGCACCACAUACAAACAAAGAUGUUGUGUCUGCCAAAAACUAAAAAAUAAAUAUUAAAAUUCUCUCUCUAAAAAAAGAAAGAAAAGAAAAGAAAAUCAGAGGAAUCACACUUCGCCCAGAGAUGGCACUGUUCGCAUGCUUUUAUCAUAGAAUUCUGAGAUUGGAGAGUAAGUAGGAAAAAUGGUCAAAAGAGG